rnacentral:lncRNA from 1 species
GGCCACUGUCUGCAGCACAUAGCACUGGCUGGUUAUAAAGGACUUGUCUAGGGGAGAGCCUGUAGGUACUCCAUUGUCUGAUGGAUCUGAGAACGCUGUCUGGGCUUGGUACCAAGAGCUGGUAUUUCACAGCAGCGACCGCCUCACAGACGAGCUGUGGGAAGCAGGAGGGAGACUCUCUCUUAGGGUGCCACUACUAUGGAGACACAGCUGGGCUGAACAAGAUUUGCUUCAAACGACAACAAGAGAGACAGAAAGUAUCUGGUUCAACCGCUGCCCGAGCAGGCAGGCACCAGAAGAGCUAGCAGCCAAUCCGGCCAUGCUCGAAGCCAGCUCUGCAGCUCAGCCAAUCAGUGACAUCAUUGCUUUCUUUAGCUUGCCCAUGGUGAUGUGAAGAUGAGAAGAAAUAGCAAGGCCCAACCAGUUCUUCAUCUGGAGACAGUUCAACGUUCUGCAAACCAGAUCUUCAGGAAUUUUACUGGGAUAAUUAUCCAAAUAAAUUGCAAGCAUUCUAUCCAAAUGGAGCUCUUUCUGAGAUGAAGAGAAUUCUCAAUGUCAAGAUUUGAACAAGAAGAGAAUGGAAUACACAAUAUGGACAUCCAUAAAAAUUCAUCAGAGAGCAUUUUACUACUGAGCUGCAAAGGUGUCUGAUGAUUUGUGAGCCUCAAGUGACUACUCUGUGGAAUCAUCUGUCCUUGCCUUUGAAUUAGCUUUCCCUAGGCCAUGAGUCAACAUUAGUAGUUUAUACAUCCAAAUUGAUGACAAGAGCACCUCAAAGGCAGCAGCCUCAAGGAGCAGCCAUGGCCCCAGACUUGUCGCACGGAUGCAGAAAACUUAAUGGAGGAGGCUGAGGUCAGAAUGGGAAGAGUUUUUAAAAAAUAAAAAGGGGAGCUAAUAUGUGAGGAACUGAUUGCUGUGCAUUAUUUUCCACUGAACAGACCUUCUUUUAACUUCUAAUCUCAAGCACAUAGCAGCUGUUGUUUUCAUAUUAAAGAUCAGUAAGUGUUUGUUGAAUGAAUGUAUAAAUUCUUCCCCAAUCUCUGUUCCAUGUAAUAAGAACUAAGUUAGCAUUCAAUUAUAAAGAGGACUUAGAAAGUCUGCAGACAUUUUUGAUCAAAAAUCCUUUUAACUGUCUUCUUAUGGUUCCCGGUAACACCUAAGCCCAAAAAACUCAGGUCAUUUCUUGCCUGUACUGUUGCAAUAGCCUCAUAAUAACUAGUCUUCUCCUUUAUCAACCACAGUCGUCUCCGCUACACAAAGAAGAGAGGGUGCUAAUCUAAAGUGUAAAUUAUUUUAAAUCAGCACCCUUCUUGUAAUUUCCCAGUGGUUUUUCCUGUCAUAAGAAUAACAUGCAAAAUUCCUUGCUUGCAAAGCCAGGUAUGACCUUGCCCCGUCUACCUUACUGGCAUCGUCUCUCAUGACUCUUCCCCUUUUUCACUCUCCAUCUUGCCUUUUCCCAACCAUGCCUGCUAGUGAGCCUUAGCCCUUGUGUUUUCUCUGCCAGGGAUGCAUGACUGGCUUCUUUACUUUAUUCUGAUCUCUCUGCUCAAAUGUCAUCUUUUUAGAGAUAGCUUUCCUAAACAUCUUUAAAAGUACCCCAUGAACUGUGAAACACCUUUCCUGCUUUUUCUUCAUAGUACUUAUCACUUCCUGAUAUUAUGUUAGACAACAAGCAAAUAAGUAUAUGCUGUUCCCACUAAAAUAUAAGCUCCAUUUGAACAGGAGCCUUGAUUAUUCCUGAGUAUACCCCUAGUGCCCAGAACCUAGUAGGGCUUUAAUAAAUAUUAGAUUCAUUUGUUGAAUGAAAAAAUGAAUGAAUAAUUGAAUAAAGAUAUCCAGGUAGAGUGUCCGGGCAGCCCAACCUAUGUGAAGCCAGUACAAGAAUGUUUCUGUGACAUAGUGAGCGCAAUUAUUCCUCUAAAUGAUGAACUUGCAUGAGUACACAAGGAUAAAAUUAAGCACGUAGUUUAGAUUUCUGCAAGUCUCUUCCUCAGAUUGAGGAAAAACAAAGAAAUUGAGCUUAUUCUCACCUCAUUCUUACAUGAACUAAAUCCAGAAUAAAGCAUCAUUUAAAUACCAAGCACAUCCCUACCUCAGCCACUCAUGGAAUACUUUAUCUGUAAAGGGACAGAUAGAUAGUAAAUAUUUUUGGCUUUGGGGACCGUACAGUCUGUGUCGCCACUACUCAGCACUUCUGUUGAGGUGUGGAAUCAGCCCUAGACAACACAUAAACAAAUGGGUGUGGCUGUGUUCCAAUAAAAUGUUAUUUAUAAAACUAGGAAAUCAGCAGAUUUAGUCCACAGGCUGUAGUUUGCUGACCCUUGAAUUAGAGAGUCUUCCCCAAAUCCUCUUCCCAAGUUAUUGAAAGAAUGCCCAUAGGACCAUAGCUCCCUCACCUGGUUCUUUCAAGAAAUGAGACAAAUUCAGGGAUGGUUGGAGGGUGGAACGCCUACCUGUGACAUGACUAUUGAGCCUGAUUUCUUUCCUUUUAUCUCUUUAAAGUGAGUCAGGUCUUAACUUUAAACUGUCUCUAAAGUGGCAAUAACUGGGCCAUGUCAAAUACUCCCAAUGACAAAAUUUCUUCUUGGAGAAUGAAUGAGGGUUGCAUACAGUGGUGUGUUGGUAAAUGUUUAGCAACUGGCUCUCUUACUGAUUUCUGUAGUGUAAAUUCUCCCAUCCUGGCCAUCUGAAACUACCAAUAUGAUGUCACUUGAUGUAGAGUUGGGAAAAGACAGUCUCUUGAAUAAGUAUGAGCUGGUUCCAGCCCACUGCUGAACACAUAUUUAAAAGCUACAAUAGCUCUGCUCACUGCCAUUGCAGAGUCUGGAGGAAAGAGUAGCAGGCUUGAUAGGAGCAAUUGGCUGAAUAAUCUUUUGCAAUGCCAAUAAAUAAUGAAAAAGUAUAUAAAUAUAACGCUGUAUAGAAAGCUCUCAAGUUCAGUGUUUGGUUAAAAUACAUACUCAGUAAAUGGUAGCUAUUAUUGUCUUAGUUUAAGUUAUUGCAAGCAUUAAAAUUAAAUGUUUAGCUACAGACUCAAUCCAGUUUUAAUGUCAUUGUGUUAAUAAGGCCUCUUAACAUUGAAGCAACAAAGAUAAAGGAAUUUUUUUGUAGCUAUUCACGAUUCUGCCCAGCUCAAGGUAAAGAUAGCAACAAAAUACUCCAACCAGAAUAAAAGAAGUCUCCACUUGACUGCAGCUCUUCGCAACACUUCACAAGGGUCAAGCUGUGUUAGUUUCCUUCAGUGUUAAACAGAAUGCAUCUUAAGAGAAUAGUUCAAUUAUUGAUUGAAUAGUAGGUUCAAGUUGACUAUAAUCCCAACUAAUACACUCUAAGACCAGGGAUGGGCCGACAGAAGGGUAAAGUUUUCCACUCAAGUCUCGAGGCAAACACUCAGAUAGAAGUAGUAAUAUGGAUGCCUUCUAUUAUUUGGUCACAUACAAUACUGUUCCAGCCCAGUUGUGCAAAACUGGUGAAAUAAAAGGCAAAAAUAUUGACAACAGUUUGGGUAACUGGAUUCCAAAAUGGGCAUCCAUCUAAGAGAAAUUAAUGAAAAAAAAGCAUAUGGACCUUGAAAUACAUUAAUACACAGUUUAGGUUUAAACACUCAGUUUUUAUUAGAAAAGACUAACUUAUCCUGUUUUGAACACUACAAAAGUGCUUUCUGAACCAUUUACUCUCAAACCUCCUCCACCCAUUCCCCUCCAUCUAUAACGCUUUCUGCACAUCUGUAAAAGGUAUGACUUAGUGUUUGGUCUGUGAAAUAAGGUUAAAAAGGAAGCAUUUCUUUUUACAUUCUAGCUAAUGUUGAUAUUUUUCUCAUGCUUCUAUUAGCACAUAAUUCAGAUACAUUAGUUUUGAAGUUUUGAAUCUUCUCUGCUUCUUGAGGGCUCUCUGUUCUAGAUCAACAUGAUCUGUGGAACACCAGCCAAGUCCUGGGCAGAACCCUCCCCGUUGUCCAAAUAUUACUGAAUCAGUUGAGUUUUCUCUGUUGUCAAUGAAUUAUUCCACAUGUUUCUUUGGCUACAUUUUUUUUGGCUUUCUGUUCACAGUAAAUAUAGCCUUUGUUUUUAAAAACUUCUAUUAUGAAAAUUCCAAAUAUAUGCAAAUUAGAGAGAAUAGCAUAAUGAACCUCUAUGUGCUUAUCACACAUAUAGGUUCAACUAAUUAAAUUAUAUCAAUUUAUGGCCAAUCUGGUUUCAUUUAUAACAUCAUUCGCUCAUUCCUAACUCCCUGGAUUAUUUGAUUGACAUGUUUCUAAAGUUCCUUUUAAUCUGUAGGUUCCCCCUCUCAUUUAAUCUUUUGCAACUUAUUCAUUGAUGAAACUGGGUUAUUUGUCCUUUAUUGUUUCUCUCAUUCUGAAAUAUGCUGUAAUGUCAUUAACCAUAUUCUUCUUUCCUGUAUUUUCUGUAAGCUUUGAGCUAGGCAGAAAUAUUUUAAUCAGAUUCCUUUUUUUUUCUUUUAGCAAGAUUUCUUCAUAAAUAAUAUUGUAUGUGUUCAUGAAAAUAGAAAUAAAAAUAGAAAUAAAGAAGAAAUAACAGAAAA